rnacentral:lncRNA from 1 species
GAUGACUGCAACCAUCAACAAUAGAAGCUAGGACCGACGGAUUAUUUUCCUACAAUCGAAGGAGUGGUGUUGGGGGGGGGGAGGUUUGCCUCGUGAUUGCUGUAAUCGGCAAUCAUAAAAGCUACGAUCGGCGAGCUUUUUGGUUUGUGAUGGCAAGGUGGGAAGUUACAACCGGUGAGUGGAGAAAAGUUGCGACCAGCAUUUAGCGAUGCUAUGACCAAUGAGGCAAGAAGCUAGGACCAACGGGGUGUGGCAUUGGAACCUUGGGGCGAGGUGCUGCAACGGCUACAUGCGAGAUGUCAUGCUUGGACCAACGCGGCAAGGGUAUUGCGACAGCAACCAUAGUGAUGGGGUGGUGCUAGGACCAACGAUGGGGUGGUGCAGGGAACAACAAGGCAAGGUGUUGAGAUGUUGGGACCAUCGAUGGGGCGGCAUUGGAAACAAUAGGG